CGUAUAUAAUCUAAUGCAAAAAGUAACUUGAGUUUAAAGUACACAAGCCUCUUCGUAAUAUUCACUACAGCAAGCAUUUUAAACCUCUCACAUUUGUAGGCACAUCACUCCAUGUCUGUCCCAUGUACUAGAAUGGUCAUGCAAUACGUUUUUGGCUUCAUCAGAAUAAACAUGAUAUGGUUUAGAGGGAAGUGAUCAGUUACUCUAGACAUGUUGGAUUGAAAAAAAAGAUAACCAUCAUUCAACGCUGGCCUCCUGAGCCUCUACAUAUCAUGCUACUGCACUCCAAGCAAUAUUGGCAAGCAGAAGGCGAAUCCAAAGGGCUGCAAAAUGAACGUGACAUGUUUUGGAUCUGGAAAGCACUGCUGAACAGCAUUAUGGAGGAAGAUUCAAAAGGAAAUUGAACAAGCACUGCACAAAGCCAUGCGGAAAGAGAGGAGGAUUGACGUCAGGGUCUCAAUUAAUCCAUCUGGAUUUUGUCCGGUUGAACAGCUGGUCCCAGUGCGAUGCCUGAGAGAAGGGAAAUUCCUCCAGCAAGUCUCCAAAGACUGAAUUCCCGAAUUUUCUGUAUUUCGACAAUUUCCUCCCCAGUUUUGACCUUUUCCGCGGGAAUUUUCUGGUCAAUGUCUCGACCCCACCGUUUUCAUUGACCAGAGAUACAAUGUGAACUGUAUAUACACGUGUACCUAACUUGUAUUAAAAUGUUUAUUUGGCGUACAUUUCAAAA